GAAACUACAUGGCUAUGCCAUCUGAGUCAUGCAAAAGAACAAGUGGAUGUAUACAUUCACGAUUUUGAUCCAGUAUCCUUAUGUUGUGUACAAGUUAAUUAUUUACCAACAACAAGAAACAGACACCAAAACAGCUUGUAACUUUGUAAAUGAGCAUAGCCACUGUUGUAAUCUCACCGCUAAUUAAAUGAAGUAUUUGAAGGACCAAAUACCAAAACUCGGGGCAUCACAUGAAAUUUAUAGGUACUGCAGAAGAUGGGGAAGAAAACAAGAAAAGGAUAUUAAUGUAGUAAUGGCGGUUGUUUUCUUUCCUAUUUUUGCUGGAAAGAACCAUCAUUCAACAUUCUUUGAACUUCUGUACAAUUUUAUAUCAAACAUUGAUUUAUACAAGUAGUG
rnacentral:misc_RNA from 1 species